GAUGGUUAAUUGGAUAAGUAGCUGAGAGAGAUUGAGAGACUCUAAACAGAAAGAAAAGAAAAUGCAAAGCUCUCUGGCCAGGGGCAGACUUUGAGCAAGUAAGGGAAAGACUGCAGUGUUCUCCAGGCAGCCGAGAAGUCUGAGCCCUUACAGCAGAAGGAGCUGCUGUUGGAACCCAGAGACUUUUAUUUUGGGACUUUUAAGUUUUGCCUGAGCUCUGAGUGGAACAGCUUCAACAGGAGAGACUGAAGGACCCUUACAUCAGAUUAUCCCACCUGAAAGAUGGCAGAGCCCAGUUCAAAUUCCUUCUCUCUGUCAGUUGGAGGGGUGACUUAAACUGGGAGUCUCCCACAACCCAGUCUUGGAUGUAGCUGAAUUUAGAAAAUGGUCUCUCCACAUCAGCUGAGCCAAGUGGGACACUGAAGAUGCAGGAAGCAGCAUGGCUCUUAACCACAUCUAUUGAAGGUAACACAUUGGGAUUUUCUUAACAUAACCAAUGUUUUCAUGUACCUGAAUGGUCCAAAAUUUGGGUGAAAAUCCGUAAAAAUGAAUAAUAGCUUUUGUAAA